CCCUUAGAUGUUCGGGGCCGCACGCGCGCUACACUGAAGGAAUCAGCACGUCUUUCUCCUUGUCCGAAAGGACUGGGUAACCCGCUGAACCUCCUUCGUGCUAGGGAUUGGGGCUUGUAAUUCUUCCCCAUGAACGAGGACUUCCCAGUAAGCGCGAGUCAUAAGCUCGCGUUGAUUACGUCCCUGCCCUUUGUACACACCGCCCGUCGCUACUACCGAUUGGAUGGUUUAGUGAGAUCCUCGGAUUGGUCCCGGAGCGGCCUCUGGUCGUGCCGGAGUGCCGAAAAGAAUGUCGAACUUGAUCAUCUAGAGGAAGUAAAAGUCGUAACA
rnacentral:rRNA from 1 species